rnacentral:rRNA from 1 species
UGAAGUCGGAAUCGCUAGUAAUCAUGAAUCAGAAUGUCACGGUGAAUACGUUCCCGGGCCUUGUACACACCGCCCGUCACACCAUGGGAGUGGGUUGCACCAGAAGUAGCUAGUCUAACCUUCGGGAGGACGGUUACCACGGUGUGAUUCAUGACUGGGGUGAAGUCGUAACAAGGUAGCCGUAGGGGAACCUGCGGCUGGAUCACCUCCUUAAUCGACGA